GGGUGUAUAGCUCAGUGGUAGAGUGCAUGCCUAGCAUGCACAAGGUCCUGGGUUCAAGCCCCAGUACCUCCA
rnacentral:tRNA from 1 species